UACAGAGGGUGCAAACGUUGUUCGGAAUUACUGGGCGUAAAGCGCGCGUAGGCAGCAGCGUGUGUCGGGCGUGAAAUCCCACGGCUCAACCGUGGAAGUGCACUCGAAACUGCGCAGCUAGAGUCUCGGAGAGGAAGGCGGAAUGCUUGGUGUAGAGGUGAAAUUCGUAGAUAUCGGGAGGAACACCGGUGGCGAAGGCGGCGACCUGGACAGUAACUGACGCUGAGACGCGAAAGCGUGGGUAGCAAACAGG
rnacentral:rRNA from 1 species